rnacentral:lncRNA from 1 species
AAUAAAUAAAUAUGUUCUAUGUGGAAUAUUAUUAUAUUCUUUGCUAGCACCAAGAAUAUAAUUAAUAUAUAGAUAAAUAAAAUAAAAUAUUUUUCUUUGGACGUGGAAGUUAGUCCACGAGAAUGUUUGCUAAACAUUUGCAAACAUAUGGGUACAUGCAGCAACUUACAGGAGGGAUGUGGGUUUUGUUUUUAACUUACAAGACUUGGUCAAAGUGUUUUUCAAAUGCUAUUGAAAAUAGCAAAAGAAAAACAAAUGGACCAAUAGAAUCUCUUAGUAGCCCAAAAAAAAGGAGGACACGAUAGAGAUAGAUUAAGUGAUAAAAUCAAAAAAAUCAAAUUAGUUGAGUUAUCUUAUCACUUAAAACAGAAGUUGUAUCGGAUAUGCUAUAUAGCAUAUAUACACAAUCUGAAUAAGGAUCGAUCUAUCUUUAUCCUCCUUGUUUUUACGCCAAAGAAAUACAAAGUGUUGUUCUAUUUUUUUUUAAGUUCCGCGUAUCAAAGGGUUGAUAGCAAAGAUUAAUUUCGGUGUGGAUACACGUAGAGUCUUCAUACAAUUGGAGAAAAAUUUAUGCUUGAAGAAUUGAUAUCCAGGUUAUUAUUUUAAAUUUUUUGAUAGCUGCGGUAUAUAUUUUGAAUGCAAAAUAGAUCAAUUUCCCGCUGUAUGUGUUAUAAAUUUAUUUUAUAACCUUUGAAUUGCAUCCUAUUGGCUAGCCUCCUCAUACCCGUUAUGGCAUACCUCUCCUUCAUCUUUCUUAGCCGAUGACCACCUCUCUUUUCUUUAGGCUCGGGAUCAGAAACUGGAAAAGGUUUAGGUUGUUUUGCAGGAGGUGGCUCCUGCCAUUUCUCAAUCUUCUUAAGGAUCUCUAUUCAAUGGAGUUCAAAAACUUAAACAAUAUGGUCUGAAGGCAUGACAUGGACGAUUUCUGAUUAAAGUUCCGAUGAUUCAAGUAGGAGACGUUCUCAUGGGGGAGAAUCCGAAACAGCGUCUAUGCCCUGAGUCACAAAUUUGUCUAGGAAUUUCAGAUAUAGCAGAUGCUCAGAGGAGAGUGCUUCUUCUUCAACCACAUCUUUCAUUGCUUGAACAUCCUUCCCAAUUGCAUAAUUUGCAUAGAGCUGAUUGGAUACAUCGGGUCAUGCCCUCACCAAUGUCACUCUUCAUUAAACGAGACAGUGAUGGGAGGACAUUGAUUGGUGGGUAUACCUGUCGAUUGUGGAGCUGUUUGUCAAUGUAAAUCUGGUCCUCAGUGGGAGCGGGAUGUGUUAUAUCAUCAUAGGGCAUAGUUAAAAUCGGGAUUUGUGUAAUGGGACCCUUCCUUCUUUCAAUACGUCCAGGCUCCAGCACGUUCGUAAAUUGUCGCCAGAUCAGCACACAUAUACCCAGGAUACCCACGCCUUCCGGGAACUUCUUCUCGGGCAGCAGAUACCUCAUAAAGAGCAUCUGCAUCAGAACUCAUAUCUGCUAGUAUGACAAGAACAUGUUUGCCACAUUCAUAUGCUAAAUAUUCAGCAGUGGUGAGAGCAAUGCGAAGAGUGAUGAUGUGUUCAAUGGUGGGGUCGUUGACCAGGUUGAGGAAUGGAGUCACUCUCUCCAUUGAUCUAUUUUCCUCGAAAUCACGUUUUUGAAAAAAAAAGCUGUGCAGUCUCCAUGUUUCCUCCCAUAGCUGCAAAAAAAAAACAAUGGCAAAGUUGUCCUCUUCCACGUCCUGUAGGAGACUUCCAGACUUCACAUUAUAUCCGAAUGUGGAAACGCCAACACAUCUUCAGCAUGUACUCAACCAACCCGAACGUGAAGCUCGAUAGUCCCCUCAUCAUCCAUUGAUGUCACAGUAUCUAGAGGGGAAGAACCAUCCAGAACAAUUGCAAAUCUUGAUGGUGAGAGAGCCACGAAGUUGGGAUCCUCGCUGAUCAUCACCGCAUGCAUUGACGCGCGUGGACGAUAAGGGAGCCAGGUGUGUCUGCUCAUGUCAAUUCCGACGUGAUUGGCAAAGCGUAAAGGACAUGGAGAGCCCCAUAAGCAACCUCCUUCAUGUCGGGAACUGAGACUCUAUGACCUCCAGACUUGAAGGCUCCAUGAAUAGUCAAAGAUUCGACUUCCUGUAGGUUUGCCACAUCCUGAACAGACCUGAAUUUUCUCUUCUUUCGGACCCUUGUCUCAGAAAAUGGUUCCAUAGCUGUCACGUGUUUCAGAGGCAAAUUGAUGCCUUGGAUUAAGAGGGUCUGAUGAUAGAGUCUUCUGAUUGAAACAGAACUCUUCCAAUAAAUGCUUCUGAAAUGAAUAACAAAACUAGGCCAAAAUAAGGGUGUACACUUCUACAAUAAAUAAGGCAUACCUAAUUAUGAAGCUCUUUAAUUUGAAGAUGCUUGAGAACAAAAAUUUUAAGCAACAUUUGAAUGAAUUUGCGAGUGAGAUAGAUUGCAAGAGGAGCACUACAAAGUAUGUCUAAGGAUACUUAUAACCAUUAGUUGGAUUUCACACUUUAGGCCUACAACUGAAGCAGAGUACAUGGUUAAUUAUGAUAAAAGUUAGCAAAAAGAUGAUUUGGUUGCAGCAAUAUUCAUUAGCAAAUUUAUGAGUCAAACAUAUGAUGAAUGUAUUAAAGUGAAAGACAUAUGGCUAAUUCAAUAUUUCAUUUAAUGACUAAAUAUAUUGUACUUUGUUAUCACUUCAUCAAGUUUUCACUUGAAGAUGGAGUGUCAACAUUUGUGAAGAUACAAGGUAGCAAGAAUCCAACUAACAUGUUGACCAAAAUAGUGAUAAUAGAGAAACUGGAGUUGUGCAUAGCUUUAAUGGGUCAUGGGUGAGGAUGGGUUGUUUAAGUGCACACCAUAUUCAUUAAUCAUUAAAGGAAGAUAUUUAGUUGUACUUUAGUUUUUAAGUGGGAGAUUGUUGGAUUAUAAAGUUUGAAUCAUUCUUAUCAUGCUACAUAGGAGAUGUCGAGGAUUGAAUGACAAGUUUGCCCCUAUUGUAUUUAACCCUUUAUGAUUCAAGGUUUAGUUAGAGAGUGGAAAGAAAAUAGCAUGGCCACAAUUGAAAGGAGGAGAGUUUUCACCAUAGUAACUUUUGUAUUUUCAUUUCAUUAGUGGAUUUUUGAGUGUUAGUGCAUUCGUGAAUGUAUGAUUCACAAUAAUCGUUGAACCAUGUUAAUUUUUUUUCUCUCUCUUAUUUUUGCUUAUGUAUAUGUGCUUAUGUUAAUCGGUUGUGAUUAGAUUAAUUGACUACUUGACUCGAACCAACCGGACUUGCAUGAGUUGCAUCCUUAUGAGGUUAAGGUUUUUGUGGAUAGGGGAUGGGAUGAAGAGGAUGAGGACAUUUUUUGCCCUUUCACAUUCAAGUUUUAUUUGAAAGUUAAAUACAAUUGUAUGCAUACAUUUCAUGUUGUUUGAUCUAAGAAAGAUGGGAAAAAAGAUAAAACAAAUUUAUAUUAAUAUAUAAGAAAAAUGAAUGUCAAUAAUAUGACCAUGUGCUUUAAUUUGAUCUUGUAGUUGAUCUUAGUUCAAGAUGACACAAAUUCUUGAAUAAAAAAUGUGGUCUAAGGGUCAACUAGACUUGAUCUUGACUUUGUUACCUAAAAUGUGGUCUUCAUCUUUAAAAGAAUGAAAGAAAACUACUUAUUUUUUGCUUUAAUUAAUUUUUUUUCAUGGGCUUGCCAAGAAAUGUCGAAUAGUAAAGGAUGUUCAAACUUGUUGAAGAUUCAUUCACUAUUCAAGCUCAUUUGUUACUCAAACUUCCAUCAAAAGGAUACAUGAGCUACUCUUGUUUAAAAAACCUCAUGAAUUUUUGUCCACUCUUCAAUUUUUUUUUUUUCCUUAAAGAAAAUGUUAUAAUGGUUUCAUUUUAAAUGUUCAUGCCAGAACUUCAACUUCUCUACUUGCACUCCUCCCUUUGAAAUCAAGGAUAGUUUGUCUAUGUUUUAGAAAGUUUAAAUAAUGAGACCAUUAUAUUUGACACUUCAAUUCAAAUUUGAAAUAUUGCCAACAUAUGAAUCUAAAGUUUAAAUUUAGACAACACUUAAAAGUUGAUUUGUCAAUCAAAUUCACUUUUAAACUUUUCAUUAAUUCUUAACUUAAAAAUAAAUUAUAUUACCUAGAUUUUAUGCAAUUUAUAAAUUAGUAAAUUUUUUCUUAUUUUUUAAGUAAAUUUAGAUAUAAAUUUUUUUUUUUUGAGGAAUAUAUAUUAAAAACAACACAAAUUAUAUUUUGAUCGGAUAAACCAAACAUAAUUAUCUUACUUUAAACAAAUAUUAAAUACAUCGGUAUAAGAGUGAAAGACUAGGGAUCUGUUUAGUAAUUGUUUUUUAGAACAAUUUUCUAUUUUUCAUAAUAAAAUAAUAAGAAAAUACGUUUGAUAGAAACUAUUUUCUUUUUUCUUUUCUUAAGAUAAGAAAAUAUGAUUUUUUUAGAUAACAUCUUUAAUUAUUUUAUAUUGUUUUCCCUUGUUUUCUAAAAGUUAUCUCAUAAAAUAAUUAUAAAAUGAUUAAAAAUAAAACACAUGAUAUAAGAAUUAUUUUUGAAACAUAUUUUAAAAUAUUAAAAACGGGUUAAAAACAAAAUCAGAAAACAUGUUCUCAAAAAUAGUUUUUCAAAACUAUUUUCGAAAACAGCUAUCAAAUAGUGUCUAAUUAACUAGGUAAAAAGAAAACAUCUAUUUAUUCUAAACAAAUAUAAUUGAAUACAUUAACACGACAGUGUUAACUAAAAAUAUAUUCGAUAAUUAUUACUUCUCUUUCAAAGCAAAUACUACAUAUCACCGUCCAAUAAUUGUACAAGAAAAUAUAUAUUUUCUAAUUUAUAAAAUAAAUAAUAAUAAAGUAGUAAAUAUUUUAAAUAUCAAACAAGAUUGAAGAUUCUAUCCAUGGUAUGGAAAACCACUUUAUUUAGUCACGUGUGAUUGUCAUCUCUGCAACCUGAAACAUUUCCUCUAUUCAUCAUGCAGACUUUCCAGGAGUUCCUAGACCUGGGGGACCUUUACCGCGGCAUCUGGUGAUGGGUGAGCAACCCCUUUGCCAUCGAUGGGCUUCUUGAGGUGGAGCCUUGGGAUUCUCGCGACAACCCACUGGUGGACUCGGUCCAUGGCAUGGGUCUAGGAACUUAUCAAUGUCAACCUCACCAUGUACGUACAUGACCAAAAUCAUGCUGACAAGAGUCAGACAUAUGAGCCAUUUCUUCGUGAUGGAGAGUCCCAUGAUCUCUAUGUUAAAUUCCUUUUUCUUUAGCUUCCAAUGCAUGGCUAGUCAUGUGAAGGGAGUUUAUAUAGAUUUUGGAUAUGGAGACCUUUGGGGAGUCGAAUGUCUUAAUAUAGAAGUGCUUAAAAUAAAGAAGGGCAAAACCCUUUUGUUUAGAUGGUUGGAAAAUGAUUUAGAAAAAUAAUUUUUGACAACUAUUUUAACUAUUUUAGGAAAAUUGUUCGUUAUUGUUUUGUAACGUAAAUAAAAGUUUCUUUUAACCUAUUUUUUUACUAUAAAAAAUUUCAUUUAUUUGACCAAAUUUUUAGUGUCAAUGACUUCAAAAUAUUUCCUUGGAGUAAAAAAUAAAAAAUAAUUUGGUUUAUGAUUGUUAGGUAUUUUUGGGCAUAAAAUAUAUCUUUCACAUUUCACAGUGAUAAAUGUCAAAUAUUUCAUUAAUUCUUUCAAAUCAAUGACUCCAAAAUUUCAAUUUACAAAGUUUUUGCCCAAACUUUUGUUUUCUUUGUUCAAUUCAACCGGUAACAUAAUCUUAGAACAUGCCCAAAUUUUGAUAGUGACCCUAAAAUGUUUUUGAAAUGAAGAUGAUAAAAAAUGUUAAGUAAUAAUAAUAAUAAUAAUAAUAAUAAUAAUAAUAAUAAUAAUAAUAAUAAUAAUAACUAUUGUUUUUGUUUUGUGGUUAUGAGAGCUCUAUGUUUUUGCUAAACUAUUAUGAUGCUUUCAAUGCUUAAUUAUGUUAUAUGCAUGACACUAAAAAUUUCAUUUAGAGAAUAUUAAUUAAAUUUAAUUUAAGUUUUAUAAAAAAUGAAAACAAUUUCAUGAUUAAAAAUAAAUAGCUUUGAAUAAAAUAUGAAUAGUAAUAUUAUAAUAAAAUAAAAAAUUAUUGUUAUUUUUUUAGAAAAAUAAUUGUGGACCCCCCGUUUGGGGCCUCCUCUCUCAGGCAACCUGUUUUGCCAAGUGUCACAGUCCCAUAGGGCCACGUGUCGUCUCGUGGUUGGUGGUCAUAAAAUCAGACAGUGGAAUUGAGGAGCGAGUGAGAGUUUGACACGUGGCAUGGAGAUAUUCUGGCCGUUAGUGAGGAGCGUAUAUUUUCUGUUAGAGGAGAUUCGUUGACAGAGGUGGUGCGUUUUUCUGGAGGUGGAGUGCUUUUCAGGUGGGGCUUUUCCAUUAGAGAGGGGGGCUGCAGAGAUCUUUGAGGAGAGGAGCUUUUGUUUGGUUGUUUAGAGAGGAGGGAGAGAUAUUUUUUAGGGGGGAUCCUGGAGUUAAAAGAAAAGAGAGGUUUGAGGCUACUGAAGGAUUCCAGGGGGAGUUUCGGGAGUUAGAGGAGGAUAACUAGAGAGGAGAGGGGAUUCACAGGAAGCUGGCGAGGAGGAUAGGGGAGCUUGAGAUGAGGGUUUUUGACAGAGAGGCUGGCGAGGAGGAUAGGGGAGCUUGAGAGGAGGGUUUUUGACAGAGAGGUUGAGGGAGGAUUUUUGUGCCUGUUUAGUUUGAGAGAAAACUAAGAGGCAGAGAUAUAGGAGCGUUUCUGUUACAGAGGGCAGGAGGUGAUGCUUUUUCGAGGGGAGCUGCCAGAGAGAAGGGUAGAAAACCAGAGUUUUGAGGAGGAAGCUAGAAGCAAGUUGGAGGUUAUAGAGAGAGCCAGAAAGAAAGGGUCUCUAACAUUUUUCUUCCCGAGAGUAAGUUUUCCAUUGUGUUUCUGCUUCUUUCUUUUUCUCUUCAUAUAUUAUUAUUGGGAUGCAUUGUUGUUGAUCUUUGGCAAUUUAUGCUUUGUUCUUCAUGGCUGACUAUUCCUCUUUUGCUCCUGUUUGUGUUUAAAAAUUGAUUUAACUCCAUUUUUACCUUCUUUGUGGCAUUUUAAAGAAAGAAAAAGACCUUUUAAUUCACCUAUCUGCAAACCCACUAAUGAAGAGGUGAAGCAUAGUCCUUAAUGCUUCAUCUCAUUUUUCUUCCUCCAUGGCUCUGUUUUUGCUACUUUUCUCUCUGCUCUUCGUGUUUGGACUUUCUUGGAUAUGAAGCCGUAAUGGGGAGUGAGGCUAUGGGAUGACGAGACAGUGAGGGAUUUGGACUCCUUGAAUCCGUUUGUCCUGUAGAGGCUACUAAGGGCUUGGUAGAUCAGUGUUUGAGCAUAUGAACAGAGAGUGGUCUACACAGGGGAUACCAUUAUUGCCAGUGAUCCGUGUGGCAGAGAUUAGUGGGCUGUAGAGAGGGGAUCCUUUCUGGAGGAGAAAGAGAACAACAAGAGUAAGGGAAGUUUGGAGCUAGAGUGGCAGGCAAACAGGGAGAUAGAGCUACUGAACUAGAGAAAUUGAAACGGAGCAAAGGAACAAGAGAUGAAUUUGUUGGGAAUUGUCCCAAAUUCCUAAUUAGUAAAUAUUCCUUUUUGUAAAGAAUAUUGUAUAGAAUAUUUCUAGGUUGAUAUAUUAUUGUAAUAUUAGACUUCCUUAUAGAAUAAGGAAGGUUGUUGGAAAUAUCUCUAUAAAUAUUCUAGGUCAUGAGGGGAAAAAGUUAUGAGAUGGAGAUGAGCCUAUAGAGACUAUACGAGGUGGAUAGAGAUGUGAGGAAGAACGGGAGGUACCUGGUGGAGCGAGAGGGCUCGUAGUAAGGUAUGGAUACAAGGAGUGGGGAAACAUGGGAUGUUUCGGGAACCCAAUAGUUGUAUCUGGUUCUAUCCUCUGUAAUAUUUUCUAUUGUAUAGUGGAAUUAUUCUCUCUCAUCCGUGGACGUAGGCAUGGUUAGCCGAACCACGUUAAAACCUCGUAUGUGUGAUUGUGUUUAUCUUUGUGUUCUUGAACUAUCAUUGUUGGCAUCAAAGCUUUCGCUGGCACUACAAUUGGUAUCAGAGCUUGGGUUGAAGAUUUCUGGAAGAGUAAAAAAUCACAAAGCACAUAAGAUGAAAACAAAAGGAAUUUUCACUGAAGGUGGAGUCAAUUGCUCUUUCGUGGUGAUAUGAUACAAAAAGGUUUGUGUCAUGGAGAGAUUGAAGAUUAACUUCAUGUAAUUUGGUCCAAGGUGGAGAUUGUUGGGAAUUGUCCCAAAUUCCUAAUUAGUAAAUAUUCCUUUUUGUAAAGAAUAUUGUAUAGAAUAUUUCUAGGUUGAUAUAUUAUUGUAAUAUUAGACUUCCUUAUAGAAUAAGGAAGGUUGUUGGAAAUAUCUCUAUAAAUAUUCUAGGUCAUGAGGGGAAAAAGUUAUGAGAUGGAGAUGAGCCUAUAGAGACUAUACGAGGUGGAUAGAGAUGUGAGGAAGAACGGGAGGUACCUGGUGGAGCGAGAGGGCUCGUAGUAAGGUAUGGAUACAAGGAGUGGGGAAACAUGGGAUGUUUCGGGAACCCAAUAGUUGUAUCUGGUUCUAUCCUCUGUAAUAUUUUCUAUUGUAUAGUGGAAUUAUUCUCUCUCAUCCGUGGACGUAGGCAUGGUUAGCCGAACCACGUUAAAACCUCGUAUGUGUGAUUGUGUUUAUCUUUGUGUUCUUGAACUAUCAUUGUUGGCAUCAAAGCUUUCGCUGGCACUACAGAAUUCAUGGGUUUUCUGAAUUGUUUUCACUAAGAAGGAGUUCACCCAGUACUCCUAGGCCUAAGAAGCUCGACAUUUCUUUGCAAACAUAAGAAGCACAGGCUGGAACUAUGGAGGCCAUAGGUUUUACAUGGUAAAAAGUGGGUUGACGGAGGAAUUGAGAAAAUAAUAAACCAAGCAAAGCUAUCCUCGAACGAUGCAGGCGGCGAAAUGCCUCUGCUAUCACCGGAAUCUUGAGGAACUUGCUUCUCAAAACAAACUGGUGCAGCCACCAACAGUUUAAGAGACGCACUUAAUUUGUCUCCUAGAGAUAUUGGCCAGCAUAACAACAGGUAUUUGCAUGGGCUUUCAGAGGGCCCAAUGACCAACAACCAGCUGGAUCAAUGGGGCUCUAUCUAACCUCAUCUCCAGCAGGCCUUCCAGAGUUCUGGCUUUGAGCAUCCAAACUCUGAUCAUCCACACCAACUUCAGUCAUCGCAGUCGAGUUCUAAUCCCUCAAGCAGCAGCUAACACAUAGGUGAAGACGGAAGCCUUUCUUAUACUUGUAAGACUAGGAAUCAAAUCAUCAGCUUUGAUACUAGACUAUGCAUUGUUUAGGAUGCCCAGAUGUACACAGAUGUGGAGGUGUACUAUGCGUCAGGGCCUGUCUCGAGGGGAUAGUUUCUUGGCUAGUUUCAUGCUGGUAUGGGGAAAAGUAUUGGAGUGCCGCCCAUGGCUUGGUGGGGAUUAUGCAUUUUUUUAAUGCACAUGGAAUUGAAAAUUGAUGAGAUUGAGGUUGCCCCAGACUCUGCUUCUGCACAUGCUGAAAGCACUGAAUCGUGUGAGGAAAUGUUUUUUUUACCCUAAUGUCUUUACCGAGUUUCAGUUGCAUGGGGUCCUGAUGGAAGGUGACUGGCUUAUGGCUCAAUGGACGACACCAUUUCUAUAUUUGAUGUAAACCGGGUCAAAUUCCUUCAUCAGUCAGAAGGUCACUACAUGCCCGGACCUGACUUUCCAACUGGAGGAUUAAUCAUGGGAAAUAUUGGCAUUUUAGAGGCAUAUCGAACUGAGUGGGAGCAUGGGAUGGCAGUUAAAGUGACAGGCACGCUUCUAGAGGUGAAUGCAGCUCAGGAUUUCCCCUAGAGUUCCUACAAUUCUAGUUGAAAAAUGAGAACAGUGUUGAUACCUUGUCCGUCGGUUGACUUUGAAUUGCAAUAGAUGACUGCCUCUUGAUGUUUCUAGAACGUGGAUCCAUCAUUGGCCUGAACCAUUGCUAGUAUUUAUGCUGCCUGCUUUGAGAGAGCAUGUUCAUUGUCAGCUGAAGGUCGUGGUCAUGAGCUCCGUGUGAGAUAGGCACUUUAUCUUUGCUCAACAAUGACGUCUCAUUAAGAACGGUGGACCCACCUGGGUUAUUUCAUGCCCUUUAUUUUUAUGUGGGAUCGUCUCCUCCAUCAAGUUGACUGGUUCUUCAGCAAAGAAAAUCAAGCUAUUCCUGCUUCUUGAUCUCUGCAUCCUAUUACCCCCACCAUUCACCUAGCUAUGUCAAUAAACCCACUUCUCUCUCUAGGUUUACACCCUUCAAUAUCCAUUAAGUCCAUCAUUCAUCCUCCGCUAUUCAUUUCCCACUCACCCAUCCCAUAUUCUCCCACGUGCAUGCAUCCUCCAGCAUUCUUCCUAAGCCUUAUCAUGAGGUGCAUAUCACCAUUUCCUUAACAUCCAGCCUGCACCAACUUCUUCUGUCAAUGAUACUAGUUGACUUGGAAAUGCUGAAUGAUCUUAAGCAAUUCCAUGGGAUAUAUAUACAUUGUUCUAGACAUUGCUCCAAGCAUGGAAAGGCAAUUUCAGCGUGUUCUCGAGAAACAAAAGAUGAAGUUCAUGCUCAGAACAAAGGUAGCAAAUGUUGACACAUCUGGAGACAUUGUUAAGUUGACACUUGAACCAGCAGCUAGUGGUGAGCAGAACAUACUUAAAGCUGAUUUUGUUCCUGUCCCAACUGGCGUCUGAGCUAUUGAUGAAGUGAUUCCAGGUUCCAUGUUAACUCACAAGACAGAGGAGGAUGAGGUGGCAUGUGUAGAGGUGAUAGCAGGCAAAGAAGGUCAUGUGGACUAUGAUAUGGUCUCUAAGGUUGUCUAUACGCAUCCUGAGAUAGUUUUUUGUUAGGAAGCAAAGAAGCGGAGUCUCUCAAUUUUAGACACGUGUCAUUUCUUCGGGAUGCAGUAACUGCAGUGGGAUGUCUGCAUCCAGUCAAGCCUCUGAGGCAGGUGCUUGCAUGGCCACCUUUGAUCCAAGUGCCAUUUCCCAUUUUGCCAUCUUUAACUUUUUAAAAAUAAUUUUCCAAGUCCUUUUCUCCAAAUAAAUUUCUGGGUUUUAGUUUUUAAAUAAUUCCAACUCCAUGUUUAACUUCAUUCUCAGAGUUUCUAGGUCCCAAAAUCCCAUUCUCCAUAAAACAAAUUGUCAUUUUCUCUUCGGCAAUUCUUUUCCACAUCUUUCUCGUUUUUUUAAAUGUUUUAAAAAUAAGCAAGAAUUAAAUUUCGUAAUUCCAAAUUAUGGAAUUUAUGGAAUUAGUUCAUGCAAAAAUAAACGGGCUUUGGUGGGGGCCCCACAUCAAAUAAAUUUUCAUCAAAAUAAAAGUGAAUUUGAAAUAAUACCAUGCAUGAUAUUGAUGUUUCUUUAUAUGGUUGGGUGAUAUGAGUGAUAUAAUUUGUGGUCAUUACUAUGCACUAAUCCCAUUUUGUGAUAGCGCGUUGCCGUUUGCUAAUCAGGUACGCAUCCACCUCCACUUCGGUUAUCCUCUAUUGCAUAUUCUGAUACUCAUAUGUGCAUGAUUGAUUUGAGUAUUCAUUGAUUUCCUCAUCAUUGCCACGUCAGCUUUAUUUUAGUAGUAGAGACCCGACUUUAGGGACUUAGAGGGGUGCUACGGUCUUUACCGUACCUUCCCGAUAAGUAACCUGACCCCCGAACCCGAUCCGGUUUUUCACAGACCACCUUUUCCAAAAUAAGGAGUCACACUUAGGGUUUUUCUUUCUUAUUUUGUUUACCCUUUAAAAAUAAAACAAAAAUAAGUAGCGACUCCAAGUCAUUUUCAAAUAAUCAAUAAAAACCAAAUUUUCAAAAUAAAAAAAAUCGAGCUCGCCAUCGAGUGGGAAACGCAUUGAGCCGAAAUGCGGGGUCCACAAUAAUAUUUUGGUAUAUGUUAGAAAAAUAUGAAUAUUAACAUCUUCAUAAAAAAAAGGUAUAAUUGAUUUAAUCUGUAAUUAGUUGGAUUAGUUUUUAAAAUUCUAAAUUAUUUUUAAAAAUUAGAAUAUUUAUUAAAUAAUUUAUAUUAUUAAUUAUGUAUCACUUAAUUUAGAACCUAUUUAUAUAGUUAGAAAAUUAAAAAAAAAUGGUAUUUCAUAGAAGAAACAGUAAAGUCAUAAUUUAUAAUGUAUCGAUUUUGGUCUAUUAUUUUUUGUAGUGAUUAGAUUUAUUUUAAGUUCCAAAUUAAUUUUGAGAAUUAUUGAACUCAUUAUCAACAUAAAGUGUCACUUAAUUUGAAAUUCAUUUCUCUGGUACAACAAUUUAUAAUAAUAUAAUUAUAUGCAAAAAGGAAAUAAAAAAAGUCCUUGUAAAAUAUUUUUUAUCCAUAAUUAUGUUUUUUAUUAAUUGGAUCAUUGUUUAAGUUUUAAGUUAUUUCUAAAAAUUAUUAGGCUUGUUAAAAAUUCAAUGCAUUCAAUCUUGUUUAAGUUGUAGUUUAUUUGUGUGGUAAGGAAAAAGAAAAAGAAAAAGAGAAAUAUGGUCCUAUAUAAAGGACAAACAAUAUAUUCAUUUUAAACUAAUUUUUAUCCACAAUGUUUUUAUAUUAAUUAAAUCAAUAUUUAAGUUUCAAGUUAUUUAUGAAAAUUCCUAAACUCGUUAUGAAUUCAAAGCAUUAAGUAUUGCUUAAUUAGCUUAAAUCAAUUAAGUGCCAAAAUAAGCUAGUAUUUGGAAAAAUGACCUCCGCCUUUUAAAAACCUAAAGAAUGCCCUAUUUUGGACUAAAUUACCCUUGAAAAAAAAAACCUUUGAAAUUCAAAAAAGCAAAAAGGAAGAGAAAGAGAACAAACCAAGGGUUCUCUUUUGAAUGGUAGACUACAACACACUCUAUGGUCUUCUGAUAUAUAUAUAUAUAUAUAUAUAUAUAUAUAUGUAUUGCAAUUUGCGUAUUGUUAUUGAUUAUCUGUGUAAAAGGAUUCUAAAAGGUUAUUCAUUUGAUUGAAGUGUGAAUUUUUUUUCUCUAAUUUCUGAAAAAACGCGGGAAAGGAAGAGAACGAAACGAAAUGGAAUGGAAGAAAACUGAAAAGGAUCUUGAAAAGUAUGUUUAUUACUUUGAAAUAGUUUGUUUUUUUGGAUUCUCUCUUUGUUGAUUUCAUACAUUCGCUUGAGGUGUGUGUUUUCUUUCUGCAUGGUUUUAGAAAAAAUAUGAGAAAAAGUAAUGGGUUUAUAUGUUCACUUUUUGUUAAGCAUAAAUAUAAGGGUUUUUCUUUAAUUUGUUAGCAUAUUCCUCAAGUGACAAAUGUGUUGACCAAUUUGGUCUUCUAAAGAGUUGAAUCAUAAUAAGAGAAAUAGAAUUUGUCCCCAUUUUGAUAUUUCUUCCUUGGUGAUUGGAAGAAACAUUUCAUUCGUCUAAUUGGAAAAUGAAUUUGUUUCCUUAAACCCCGCAGGUAGAGAUAUUGAAAGUGUUGCUGAAGUCUUUUUCCAUGAGCAGUGUUGGAAGAAUGGUUUUGAUUUCUUUUCCAAAAUUCAAAACCCUUUUUUUAGAGUAGUUUUGGCUUAUAUCAUAAAGUAAAAAUAAUACUUCUUCUAUGAGCAUUCAUGUCAAUUAUUCUCCUUUUGUGUUGCUUAACUUUUAAGUAAUUGAACCAAUAUGAUAUACAUGAAUAGUCAUUCUUUUCUAGUAAUGACAAAAUUGGAGAUCAUUGUAGUCUUUGCCAAUUGGGUGUCUAGUUUUUUAGCAGUUUGGGAAUUUUUUUCUUUUUCCUAUUUGUAGUUCUUUUCCCAAGGGAUAGGAAGUUGGUUUAAUUGAAAACCUCAAUUUUCAUCAAACAGUUUGCAUCCCUUGCCUAUCUACAGUUUCCAUUUCACUUGUCUAGAUUGAGAAUUAAAUCUCUGCUCUCUCUUGGAUGUGAACCAACUUUAAGAAUCACCCCAUCAAGGUCUAAACCCAGUUUGCUUUUACUAGAUCAUAAGUGACAUUUGCUAAAUUUGGGACCUAGUUGGUCCUACAAUGCAAACCACAACAUUGAAAUAGUAAUCUCUAACAAAAGUCAUGACAAAGAAUGAUCCCAACUAAGGACUGAAAUAUUACUCACAACUAAGAUAUUGAGUGAGAUGAUGCAUAUGCAUAGCCAAAAUACUUCUACCAUAUGCUUUCUAUUAGUAAGGAUGGUCCUUUAGAACUUCAUUUAUAUCUAGAUAUAGAUGCAAGGAAAAGUAAUAUGACAUGGACUCAUGAUUAGUUCUUAAAAUUUAGGCAUGAAUAACCAAAGUGUUUGAACUCAUUAGAAAAUCAUGUGCAUCAUGCAAUCUCUUUCAUCAAUAAAAGAUUUAAAAGAAUUCAAUGAAAAAUGUAGUGUAAGUUUUAUGAAAAUGUAAAUUUCUAAAAAUUGUUUCUAAGGUGAUGUAAAAGAAUGUUAUACAGUGGUCUCUAUUUCUCUCUCUCUUUAUAUAUAUAUACAUAUACUUAGUAUAAACUUAUGGAUUUUAAUAAGUAAAUGGAUGAUUGUUAUUUGAAUUUUUUUAUAUUUAUUUUUUAAGGACAAGGAAAAAAAAAAUUAGAUUUGCAAUAUAGUAUAACUCCAAAAGUGAUCAUCCUAGAAAGUGAACUAAUCAUCUUUAAGGGCAAAUACUGAAGAAUCUAAUGAGAAGGUUUGUAUUUUUGGUAUAUUUGGGAUGUUAAUGUGUUGAUGAUUCUUGUAUAUGAGAUCACUCCUUCAAUAGCAAAAUAUAUAUCUAUUGCAUUUCAUAUGCUAAAAAUAUACCAAAUAAGUUAAGCCUAGAUAAUAAGUCUAUGGAUGAUAUUAUAUCUCAAGUUUGCCAUAAAUAAUGAACCUAUCAAGUUAAGUUUUUUAUAUGUUAAUCAAAAUAUUCAUUUAAACUAAACUAUAGUUAAGUUUUAUAGAGAAAGAAUUUAAUCGAGGUUAAGUUAUUAAAAAGUAAAAAUUCACCUGAACUUAGCCAAGGUUAAGUCUCAUCAACAAAUAACAUAACUGUAGUUAAGUUCUCAGUUAAAAUAUUUGAAACAUGCUUACAAUAUAAUUAAUUGAAUCGGUAUUUUGAUUUUAGUGGAAGUAGUUAAAUUUUUUGUAAUAUAUUUUAGUUCAUGCAGAAUGUUUGUAACUCUUAAUAUAUUUUCUUAAUGUGAAGCAUAAUGUAUGUGACUUUGUAGGCUACCACUUCUUCAACAAUCUUCAUACAGAAAAUACGUAAUGAAGAUCAUUUCCCAUCUAAGGUGGCUUGAUUAUCCCAAAUUAUUGUCAUUGACAACAUAAAGAAGAACUUGAAUGAAACCCAACUAGAGAUGUUUAAAACAUCUUGUUUUGCCCACUUCUUAGGUAUGGUUGAUUUGAAAUUUUCUACUCAAAUUGUUCAUAAUAUGUUGUUACGCCAAUGUGACAUUAAAAAAAAAAUGAUAUGUGGAUACUUGUAAACUCUAAAGGUUUGAGUUUUAGUGCGUUGAAGUUUGCAUUGAUAAUCGGGUUGAAAUUUGGGAAAAUUUCACAAUUUGACAUAACAUCUUUGAGGAUAAGAGAUCAGUAUUUUAAUAGAGAGAAUAAGAUUCGCAAUGAUUGAUUGGAAGAGGUUUUCAUUGCAUUAUGUAAGAAAAGAAAGAGAAUGAGCACAAAGAAGUCAAAAAAUAAGGAAAAGUUAAAUGGGAAAUCAAAUCUUGAUGAAGACAUUGUGAAUUUAGCAUUGUUGUACUUUGUUGAGCAUGUUCUACUAAGAAAAAAAUGGAAGAAUUUGAUAGAUUUACAAUGAGUUCAACUUUUUAAUAAUUUAGAGGAGUUCAACAAGUAUUCCAGUGGGAAAAUUUUCCAUGAAAGAACAUUAUUUGGGUUGAAAAGGGCUUUGGACAAAAGACAAUCAAAAUAUGUAGAGAAAAAAAAAAAAGGAAUGCAUCAUAUGAAGCAUGCACUUGUGGGAUUUCCAUAUGCCUUUCAAAUUUGGGCAUGUGAAGUCAUUCCAUUGCUUGGAAUGAAAUAUGCAAGUUGCAUUGGUAGAAGUUUUCCCAGAAUUUUAAAUUGGACAGGGAUUGCAACUACAAAGUACACUGAGAUUCAAUCAUUAUUUUUAGAGUCAAAUGUGAGUGAUAUCUUAAUUUUUGCUUAUACUUACUUUCUUAUUUACAUAACCGUAUUCUUAUUAUUAAUUGUUUUCUUUCUAUCUUGAAUUAUUAGUUAUCUUUGCAUUCCAUACUCAUUCUGACAUUGGAAGAGGGUAAACAAAAGUAUGUGAAAUGUUUUGAAUUUGAAGCUUAGUCGGAUGAUGCCUUACAAGAUAAUGUGAAUGAUUGGGAGAAAUAUAAAGAUCAUGAGGAAGCUGAGGCUUAUACUGCAGCAGUAGUAGCAAUAAUGAAAGGUGGAAAUGAUGGUGUUAGUUCUAAAUUACCUUCAUUCAAGGUAACUAAAGUGAAAGUUAUUAAUAUUAUUUCACUAUACAUGUUUAAGAAUGUUUGACUAAUGUUAUAAUGUUUUUUCUUAUGUAAAGGAAUUGGUUAUGAUGUUCAUCAACUUUCAAGAAAAGACAGAAGAAAAUUUUAAUGAAGUCCAAACAAAAUUGAAAAAAAAAAAAAAAGUAAGGUUGAUGGUUUUGAGUGAGUUGUUGUUGGAUGUUAGUAACAUGUGUUAGAUUCUUUAUUUUUUUUAUAAAACCAACAACACAUUUUAAAAUAUAUUAAUAUAUUUCUAUGCAAUUUUAGAUUAGAAACCCAAGAAGUGAGUCAUAUAAUGCUACAAUGGGGAAUGGUAUGACGAUGGACUUCAAAUCAAAGUUAGGAAAAUUUGAAACACCGGGAAAAGACAAUAAGAAGGAGGCUUCAAUGGAUGAUGCAUAGAAUGAAACACCAGUUAAUGUUUUUCCAUGAUCUUAUAUUCUUUAUAUUUUUUAAAUUACUAACAAUGCCUUUUCAAAUAUAUUUAUAUAUUUCUAUGCAAUUUCAGGUUGGAAAAUUGAGUAAUGAGCCAUAUACUACAACAAUGGGAAAUGAAACAACAUUGAACUUCAAAUCAAAGUUAGAAAAAAUUUAGACAUCGAGAAAAGACAAUGAUAAGGAUGUUUUGAAGGAUGACCCACCUAAUGUGACAGUAGUUCAUGUUUUCCCACAUCAACUAUCAUCGAAUAUCUUUAAGCGAAGAAAAGAGGUAAAGAAAUCUCAUCUACUGCAAUACCCAUUUACAGAUCCCACAAAGAGAAGGAAGUUAUUAAUGAGUAAGACUGACAUAACAUCAUCAAUCUUUGAUCCAUUGCGGCCACCAUCAAUGGAGGCAAAGGUGGCUUAUACAGAAUAUAUUAAUGAUUAGAUUAAGGAAAAGUAAGUUAUCUACAAUAUUGACUCGAUUAAUUUUUUUUAUGUAAUUUAUGAAGUUGAAAAAUGGUUUAUUUCCUUAUAUGACAUAAAGGUUUGAAGUGAACAUCGAGUAUACGAAGGUGGACCAAAAAUGGUUUCAGAAAAUAAUGAUUCCUGGAGAAUGGCUCAGUGACUCCGUUUAUGACUGUUGCCUACAUUAUUCAAUAAUAUACAGAUAUUGUUGGAUUACUAUUUAUUAUUCCUUAUCAACAUAUUGAUGCCACUUUAUACUUUUUUUCGAAAAAAAGAGGAUACUAAACUCUGAUGUGUUUACACAAAAAUUCACCACCACUGACACAUUAUUUUGGGUAUGCAUAUUAGUGCAUUUUAACUUUGUUUUACUUUAUUUUUAAAGUUAUAUUCACAACUUCUGAUUAUUUUUUCCUUAUGUAACAAAAAGUAGAUGGUUGUUGGAAGAUGAAUCAAAAGACAUGGAACAAAUACAUUUUACCGGAAGAUGACAUCCUCAUCGAUUAUGCCAUGGUUCUUUAUCUUAGGCCUUUUUUUGAAAUGGUCUAAGGUUGAUGUCAUAUAUGUUCCUAUCAAUCUAAGGAGCACACAUUUGGUACUGGGAGUUGUCCACCUUCGUAGUAGGAGAAUUUACAUUUGACUCCAUAAAGUCAAUUAACAAACCCAAUAGAUUGAAAACACUUGUCACACCCAUUGCAAUGUUGUUACCACGUAUCUUAAGAGCUACAAAAUACUAUGGGAAGAAUGGUGACCCCAAGGGUGAACAUGCGUGGGACAUUGAGAGAUUGAACAACAUUCCACAACAAACAAAGGAGUAAGUACAAUAUUUUCCAUGCCAACACACAUAUUUCAUUAUAUAUACAAUAAUAUUUAACAUUGUUAACAUCACUUUUUUGUGUUCAUUCAGUGGUGAUUGUGGUUUUUUUUUUUUAAUCAAAUUUGCAAAAGACCUGAUGCACAGCCAUCCAAUGGAUACACUAAUAGGCGAGCAAAUGGAUUGGUUUCGUAAGAAGAUGGCAAUGGAGUUAUUUUUCCAUAAAGAACUUCCUAUGUGAUCCUACUAUUGUAAAUGGAUUGUAAUUGGAUAGUGGACAAUGUUUCUAUGUAAUGACAUUGAAGUUUUUUGUUUAGCAAAUUCCUAUGUUAUAGCACGUAUUUAAAUAGUUACAUGUUUUUCAUACAUCUAGAGAAAUGAAUGGUUGCAAAUUUAUUUACUUUUAUAAAUAUGACUAUGUUAUGAUUGUUAACAGGUUUGAAUUUAUUGUAGUAAGCAUAAUAAUAGAAACUUAUAUUUCAAUGUAGAGCUCAUAUUUUUUUGCUCAAACUUAACCCUAGUGCAUUUUAGGUGAACAUCCUCAAUUAAAACUUAACUCCUACUAAGUUAUUUAUUAAAAAAACUCAACUUCAGUUUAGUUCAGGACGUUUGUUUUAAUUCAAACUUAACGAGUGUUAAGUUACUCAUAACUUACACUUAACCUUAUUGCAGUUCAGGUGAGUAUCCUCAAUUAAAACAUAACUCCUACUAUGUUCUUUAUUAAAAAAAAAACUUAACUUCAGUUAAGUUCAAGACAUUUGUUUUAAUUCGAACUUAAUUGUUAACUUACUUGUAAAUUAGACUUAACCUUAGUGCAGUUCAAGUGUAUAUCCUCAAUUAAAACUUAACUCUUAUUAAGUUCUUUAUUAAAAAAACUUAACUUUAGUUUCAUUCAGGUAAUUUUUUUUUAACUGAAACUUAACUACUAUUAAGUUCUUUGGAAAAUAAACUUAACCCUAGUACAAUUCAGUUGAAUAUCCUCAAUUAAAACUUAACUCUUACUAAGUUCUUUAAUUAAAAAAAUUUAACAUCACUUUCGUUCAGGUAAGUUUUUAUAACUUAAACUUAACCAUUGUUAAAUUCUUUGUAAAAGAAAUUUAACCCUAGUGUAGUUUAGGUGAAUGUCCUCAAUUAAAGUUGUAUAUAUGAAUGAUCUCGACAUAUAUAAUGUGUUUGAUCUUAACAUCAAUAAAAGAUUAAAACAUAUCCAAAUAUGUAUGAUCAAAUACUAACGAGACUAGUAUUCAAAAAAAAAAGAGUUUACUUGUCAUUUCAAAUGAGUUGGUAUUGAGGGAUGAACUUAAACUUCAUUUUUAAGCUUUAAGUUCAUCAUUUAAUUAAAAGAGACUAAAUCAAAGUACAAUUAUACGUUUUGUGCCCCUAUUCACAAUAUACAAAAAAAAUUACAAUAUCAAAUAUUUUAUAUGCCAAUCAUCAUCUACAAAAAACAACAAAAAAUUCACCAUAAAAUUGGCUUAGUGACAGUUUCAUUCAUUCUCUGAUUGUAAGGAGAAAUCUUGCAUGCCUAUUUCAGUGUAUCCACUAUUAUCAUUCUGAUAAUGCAGAGGGAUAUGUCAUUUGCAUGACUUUCAAUUAUGACCAUAAUCACCACAUCGACCACACCGCCAUUUGUGUUUACUCUCUCCACCUGAAAGGAUUCUUUCAUUCCUUGGUAUUCCUACUAGCUACCUUGUUUUCGGUGGUAAUACAACUCUACUGCUUAUAUCAUCAGGUAUCAUCCAAUCCCUUUGAUGUCCAGGAAGAUAGAUGGACUCAACAUAUGAAGAUAAUAAUGAGUUCACUGUGCAAUAUUUGGAGCAUAAAGGAUAGCAUGACAUAUGUGCAUAUCUACAAGCAACAAUAGCAUGUGAACACGAUAUGUGAUCAAGAUCAAACCAUCGACAUGUGCAUGAAUGAUUAUGUAAAUUCACAUGAUCACUAACACCAUUAUAUUUAACAUUAUACUUCAUCGAGUUGAUUGCUUCAACUUCAUAUGUUGAUGAUGUAUUGUACCUUACACGAAGCUCUCCAUCAGCCCAUGUUGUUACCUAAGUUGUCAUUGACAAUGCUUGUUGUUUACAAUUUGCAAACCAUUUUUAAAGUAAAUUUCUUAACUCUUCAAUUUAUUGCAAAAUAGGAAGAUCUCUACCAUCCUUUAACACAACAUUCAAACUUUCAGCAAUCCCUGUGGUCAUAAUGUUAUAUCUUUUUUUGGUAGAAUGUGAAUGUGUCCAUCGCUUAACACCUGCAUCUAUUAUAUAUGUUGCUGCUCUCAGAGAAAUCAUUUGUAGUUUCCCAAAUAUAAUAUUGAAUUCUGACAACUGGUAUGUAUAAGCAACAUCAUGAAACAACUUAUGGACUUCAACGUUUUUAAACUUUGUUUUGAGGUUUUUCUUCAUGUGAUAAGUGUACACACCAUGGCUUGCAUGAGGAAAAGUUUUCGCACAAAUUUUUCAAUGUUGUCGUGACGAUCUAAAACCACCACAAGAUCAUCAACAUGGCCAAUUGCUCCAUGCAAUUUUUUUUAGGAACCAUUCCCAAGAAGCAUCAUUUUCAAAAUCACCAAUUCUGAAACAUAAAGGGUAUAUCUGAUUAUUUCCAUCCUUACAUGCAGCAACAAACAAAGUUCCUAAGUACUUUGCCUUCAAAAAUGUUCCAUCGAUUGUAAUGACAGGUCUUAUUGAUGUACGAAACCCAUAAAUACAUGCACCAAGAGCCAUCAAAAAAAUACUUAAAUUGAUUGUCGUGGUCAAUAACCAUACCAGUAAUGGUGUCAGGAUUUUUGUGCUCCAACACAUAACAAUAAGAUGGUAAAGCACUAUAGGACUCCUCUGGUGAUCCUCUAAUAGAACUUAGAGCAAAUUCUCUAGCUCUCCAUGUCUUACCAUAGCUUAUCCCCACAUCGAACUUGUUUCGAAUAUCAGCUACAAUGUCUUUUGGUCGAUAUUGACAACCAACCCCUUGAUAUAUUUCUCUUAUGCUUUCACCAAUCAACCAACAACUUGCAUGACGAUGAUCACGAGAUAUCAUAUCCAAGCUACAAGUGUGUGUUGAAUGAUAUCUCCUUAUUUGAAAUAGAUUAGAAUUUCCCAACUUGAUUGCAAGAAGUCGCCACUUGCAUUCUUUAUUGACAAUCCAAUAUAUAAUAACUUGGUCAAAGAUUUUAAUGUUUUCAACUGAAACUCUCUUUUCAAAGCAAUCAUGCAUAACUUCUUCUGCAAUUCUUUCUUAUUGGAGUAUUUGGUGCUCUUCCAUGUAGUCAUCACCAGUUUCACUAUAACCAACUAUAAAUGGUUCCUCUAUGCUUUCUUUUGCAUGACUUUCACAUUCCAUUGCUGCAUUUUCCAUUACAUCAAUUUGCAUUACUUGGCAAUCCUUGUUCGGGUUGACAUUCAUUCCACCAUCUUCAUCAUCCUUGUUCAUAUUCAAGUUAUGAGAAUCAAAACAAUUAAGUGGAUCAUAGCUCAACCUUGUUCUAUUUUCAUCAUCAAAACCACUCAAAGAUUCACUACUAUUUAUGAAUAUUGGGUCCAUAUUGAUUUCUUUCUCAACCCUAGAUAAAGUAUGAGAGCCAAAAUCAGUGUUGAUGAUUGAUUCAUACCUAUGAUUGCCACUUCUUUUUCUCUAUUGUGAUACAUAAUGGAACUGGCAACUUACUAUCUGUACAAUUUAAACAAAUGAAAAUUUUCACAUCUCCAUCAUCUCUUAGCUGUAUAAGAGUGGAUGGUAUAUUGCCAUUGAAUACAUACUUCAUCUAAAGAUUGUGCUCUGGUGGAUCUACUUUCAAAAUGUGACAAAUAAUCUUCAAUAAUUCUUCAUAUGUUAUAGUCUUCUUAAGUUCAAUAAAUUUACCUUGGCAACCUUCAAAGUAGUACAUGUUUCGAUUUUGCACCCAAUCUCCUUCAUAAAAAAGCAUUAUUCCCAUUUCAUCAAUCACUGUAACAAAAAUAAAUAAGUAAAUAAAUAAAUUGAAUUAUUGAUACAAAAAAAAAAAUAUUAAAACAGUAGUUAUUUGGAUAAGUAACUCAAUCCCGCAAAGUUGUCGAUUAACAUGUUGAAUUGUACUCAACUAUCUUCAAGUUUUAUAUAUAAAGAACUUAACACUAGUUACAUCUAGUUUUUACAUGUUAAAUACGAACUUUACUCUUUUCAUACAAAUGUUUUUAACAAAAAAUUUCACUCAUGUUUACUCUAAAAUUUUCGUUUUUUUUCCCCUACAACCAAAUAAUGUUGAGAAUAGCAAAACUAAGGUAAUUUUUUUUCCCAAAUGGGUUUACAUACCUUCAUUCGACCUUGCCAUAUGUUUUUUUUUUUUUUAAAUCUGCUCUACUUCUAUUACCUCAAUUUUGAUGGUGGGUUGCAGUAAUAGUGUAUAGGGACAUACUCACAAUGUUAGUAAGAGAUAUGCAGAUAGAUGUAGUACCGAUGAGAGAGGUAAAACUAAAAUGUUUUGCUUUUGGAUAGAUAUCAUGUCUUUGGUGGGGGAUCUUACUCUUCUCUGUUUCUCUAUUCUUUUCUACUUCUCUUCACUCAGCUUUAUUGGUGGGUUACAGAGAUGGUGUAUAGGGAUGUACUCACAAUGUUGGUGAGAGAGAUGUAGUACCGAAGAGAGAGGUAAAACUAAAGUUUUCUGCUUUUGGAGGGAUAUCAUGUCUUUGGUGGGAAUCUUAUGUGUUUUUAGAGGGAAAUAAAUAAGGGUAAAAAUGUCUAAAUUAGAUCAUCUCUCAAAACAAUUGACUAGUGAGGUUACUUUUAUAAUUUUACCUUUAUUUUGAGUCACCUGUUCAAAUAAGCCAAAAAAAAAAAAAAUAGAUUAUGUAAUAAAGUUGUUGGUUACCUCAGUAGCAAGAUGGCCAUGGCAUCAAAACUAGAGGAAAUGGGCAUUUGCAGAACAAUGGGCAUCAAGAAAGAGAAGUUCAACAAAUAAAGGAAGAUGAUGGGAUUGCAGGUGUGGAGAGAUAUGUGUAUAUAAAAGGAGAUAUUUUGUAAAGAAAAAGGUUGAAAGACGGUUGUUUGUCAUCUUAAUUUGUCUUCUAGUCGGUGGAGCAAUGAAAACAUGAGUCAACCGUUUCUGAAAUCCAUUUAGGAUUUUGAGAAUAGAGAGUAAAAUAUAUGUUCACAAGGGAAAUGCUGAGGAUGGCUAGCGGUCAUGAUGACAACUUUAUUGUCCAAGAGUCUCAUUGGGUGGUGGUUAACUAACAAUCAUAAGGAUAAAAUCCAUGACUGCUAUAUGUGGAUUUUCUCAUUUGUUAAUGUUCCACCCCAACUUAAAAUGCAAAGCCAAAAAAAGGGUCAAUCCUAGAUUGUAAAAUUCAUACCCUCGUCUACAUAAUUGCUAUAGAAAUGUUAAGGGUGUGUUUGGACACGUUUUUAAACACAUUUCUAAUGUGAUUGUUGACUUGGAAAUCGAUUAAAAAAAGCCACUUAAUCUUAUUUGAUGUUUUUUUGUUAAAGUUUUUUAUUCAUUUUAUUGAUUGUAAGGUAGGGUUGUAAAUAUUGGAUUGAUUAGUUAUAUGAAUGUUAUUUAUUCACAUAUUGAUGUAUUGAUUUGCAAAGGUUCUAGAAUCUUAAUUAAAUAAUUUUUUAAUAGUUUUUUGUUUGUUAAAUAUUGUUUGAUUUAUAAAAUAUUUAGGGAAAUGGAUAUUAAGUUUAUGCUUAUUAGCUUGACUAGCCUGACUAACCUGAAUAUAAAUCUAUUAAUCUGAAACUAGCAAAUUUAAACUUGAGUUUAGAAAAAUAAGUUUAUGAAAGAUGGUAUGAAUUUCGAUUUCUAAAAGAUAUAGAUAAAGAAUUCUCUGCACCAAAAAGAUUUGUAUCUAUCAUUGGGAAAGAAACCAAAAUUUAUGGUUGAAAAUGAAUGGGAUUUGCUCGAUUACCAAGCCUUUGUUGCAAUUAGGUUAACCUUAUCAAAAUCAGUUGCUUUUAAGAUAUAUAUAUAUAAAGAGCACAACAUGUCCCUCAUGGCCACCCUAACCAAUAUGUAUGAACAACCUUCUACAAUAAAUAAGGUAUACCUAAUUAUGAAGCUCUUUAAUUUGAAAAUGCUUGAGAACAAAAAUUUUAAGCAACAUUUGAAUGAAUUUUUCUAGUGAGAUAGAUCACAAGAGGAGCUCUACAAAGUAUGUGUUUACUAGGGAUGCUUAUAACCAUUAGUUGGAUUUCACACUUUAGGCCUACAACUGAAGCGGAGUACAUGGUUAUGAUAAAAGUUAGCAAAAAGAUGAUUUGGUUGCAGCAUUCAUUAGCAAAUUUAUGAGUCAAACAUAUGAUGAAUGUAUUAAAGUGAAAGACAUUUGGCUAAUUCAAUAUUUCAUUUAAUGACUAAAUAUAUUGUACUUUGUUAUCACUUCAUCAAGUCUUUACUUGAAGAUGGAGUGUCGACAUUUGUGAAGAUACAAGGUAGCAAGAGUCCAACUAACAUGUUGACCAAAAUAGUGAUAAUAGAGAAACUGGAGUUGUAUGUAGCUUUAAUGGAUCAUGGGUGAGGAUGGGUUGUUUAAGUGUGCACCAUAUUCAUUAAUCAUUAAAGGAAGAUAUUUACUUGUACUUUAGUUUUUAAGUGGGAGAUUGUUGGAUUAUAAAGUUUGAAUCAAUCUUAUCAUGCUACACAGGAGAUGUCGAAGAUUGAAUGACGAGUUUGCCCCUAUUGUAUUUAACCCUUUAUGAUUCAAGGUUUAGUUAGAGAGUGAAAAGAAAAUAGCAUGGCCACAAUUGAAAGGAGGAGAGUUUUCACCAUUGUAACUUUUGUAUUUCAUUUCAUUAGUGGAUUUUUAAGUGUUAGUGCAUUCUGUGGAUGUAUGAAUCACAAUAAUCGUUGAACCAUGUUAAAUUUUUUUUUCUCUUUUAUUUUUGCUUAUGUAUAUGUGGUUAUUUUAAUAGGUUGCGAUUGGAUUAAUUAACAACUUGACUCAAACCAAGCCAACUUGCAUAAGUUGCAUCCUUAUGAGGUUAGGAUUUUUGUGGAUAUGGGAUGGGAUGAAGAGGAUGAGGGCAUUUUUUACCCUUUCACAUUCAAGUUUUAUUUGAAAGUUAAAUACAAUUGUAUGCAUACAUUUCAUGUUGUAUGAUCUAAGAAAGAUGAGAAGAAAAAAAAAAGGUAAAACAAAUUUAUAUUAAUAUAUAAGAAAAAUAAAUGUCAAUAAUAUGAUCAUGUGCUUUAAUUUGAUCUUGUUGAUCUCAGUUCACGAUGACACAAAUUCUUGAAUAAAAAUGUAGUCUAAGGGUCAACUAGACUUGAUUUCAACUUUGUUACAUAAAAUGUGGUCUUCAUCUUUAAAAGAAUGAAAGAAAACUACUUAUUUUUUGCUUUAAUUUUUUUUCAUGGGCUUGCAAAAAAUAUCGAACUAGUAAAGGAUGUUCAAACUUGUUGAAGAUUUGUUCACUAUUCAAGCUCAUUUGUUACUCAAACUUCCAUCAAAAGGAUACAUGAGCUACUCUUGUUUAAAAAACUCCAUGAAUUUUUGUCCACUCUUCAAUUUUUUUUUUCCUUAAAGAAAAUGUUAUAAUGGUUUCAUUUUAAAUGUUCAUGCCAUAAACUUCAGCUUCCCUACUUGCACUACCUCCCUUUGAAAUCAAGGAUAGUUUGUCUAUGUUUUAGAAAGUUUAAAUAAUGAGACCAUUAUAUUUGACACUUCAAUUCAAAUUUGAAAUAUUGCCAACAUAUGAAUCUAAAGUUUAAAUUUAGACAAUACUUAAAAGUUGAUUUGUCAAUCAAAUUCACUUUUAAACUUUUCAUUAAUUAUUAACUUAAAAAUAAAUUAUAUUACCUAGAUUUUAUGCAAUUUAUAAAUUAGUAAAUUUAUUAUCAAUAGAAACCAAAUAUAAUUAAGAUACGUUAUAAUAUAAUUAACAUAUAUUCGACUUUUAAUCAUUUUUUCUUAUUUCUUAAGUAAAUUUAGAUAUAAAUUUUUUUUGAAGAAUAUAUAUUAAAUACAACACAAAUUAUAUUUUGAUUGGAUAAACCGAACAUAAUUAUCUUACCUUAAACAAAUAUUAAAUACAUCGGUAUAAGAGUGAAAGACUAGGGUCUGUUUAGUAAUUGUUUUUUAGAACAGUUUUCUAUUCUUCAUAAUAAAAUAAUAAGAAAAUAUGGUUGAUAAUCAAAAACUAUUUUUUUUUUCUUUUUUUAAGAUCUAAAAACAGGAUAUUUUCAUAUAACAUCUUUAAUUAUUUAUAUUGUUUUCCCUUGUUUUCGAAAAGUUAUCUCAUAAAAAAAUUAUAAAAUGAUUAAAAAUAAAACACAGGAUAUAAGAACUAUUUUUGAAACAUAUUUUAAAAUAUUAAAAACGGGUUAAAAACAAAAUCAAAAAGAAUGUUCUCAAAAAUAGUUUUUCAUAACUAUUUUCGAAAACAGCUAUCAAAUAGUGUCCAAUUAACUAGGUAAAAAAAAAACAUUUAUUUAUUCUAAACAAAUAUAAUUGAAUACAUUAAUACGACAGUGUUAACUAAAAAUAUAUCCGAUAAUUAUUACUUUUCUUUCAAACCAAAUACAACAUAUCACCAUCCAAAAAUUGUACAUGAGGAAAUAAAAAUACAUGUUUUAUAAUUUAUAAAAUAAAUAAUAAUAAAGUAGUAAAUAUUUUAAACAUCAAACAAGAUUGAAGAUUCUAUCCAUGGUAUGGAAAACCACUUUAUUUAGUCACGUGUGAUUGUCAUCUCUGCAACCUGAAACAUUUCCUCUAUUCAUCAUGCAGACUUUCCAGGAGUUCCUAGACCUGGGGAACCUUUACCGCGGCAUCCGGUGAUGGGUGAGCAACCCCUUUGCCAUCGAUGGGCUUCUUGAGGUGGAGCCUUGGGAUUCUCGCGACAACCCACUGGUGGACUCGGUCCAUGGCAUGGGUUUAGGAACUUAUCAAUGUCAGCCUCACCAUGUACGUGCAUGACCAAAAUCAUGCUGACAAGAGUCAGACAUAUGAGCCAUUUCUUCAUGAUGGAGAGUCCCAUGAUCUCUAUGUUAAAUUCCUUUUUCUUUAGCUUCCAAUGCGUGGCUAGUCAUGUGAAGGGAGUUUAUAUAGAUUUUGGAUAUGGAGACCUUUGGGGAGUCGAAUGUCUUAAUAUAGAAGAAGUGCUUAAAAUAAAGAAGGGCAAAACCCUUUUGUUUGAAUGGUUGGAAAAUGAUUUAGAAAAAUAAUUUUUGACAACUAUUUUAACUAUUUAAGGAAAAUUGUUGGUUAUUGUUCUGUAACGUAAAUAAAAGUUUCUUUUAACCUAUUUUUUAACUAUGACAAAUGUCAUUUAUUUGACCAAAUUUUUAGUGUCAAUGACUUCAAAAUAUUUCCUUGGAGUAAAAAAUAAAAAAUAAUUUGGUAUAUGAUUGUUAGGUAUUUUUGGGCAUAAAAUAUAUAUCUCACAUUUUCACAGUGAUAAAUUUCAAAUAUUUCAUUAAUUCUUUCAAAUCAAUGACUCCAAAAUUUCAAUUUACAAAGUUUUUGCCCAAACUUUUGUUUUCUUUGUUCAAUUCAACCGGUAACAUAAUCUUAGAACAUGCCCAAAUUUUGAUAGUGACCCUAAAAUGUUUUUGAAAUGAAGAUGAUAAAAUUAGUGUUAAAUAAUAAUAGUAACUAUCGUUUGUUUUGUGCUUCUGAGAGCUCUAUGUUUUUGCUAAACUAUUAUGAUGCUUUCAAUGCUUAAUUAUGUUAUAUGCAUAGCACCGUAAAUUUCAUUUAUAUAAUAUUAAUUUAAUUUAAUUUAAGUUUUAUAAAAAAAUGAAAAUAAUUCCAUAAUUAAAAAUAAAUAGCUUUGAAUAAAAUAUAAAUAGUACUAUUAUAAUAAAAUAAAAAAAUUAUUGUAUUUUUUUAGAAAAAUAAUAUUUUGGUAUAUGUUAGAAAAAUAUGAAUAUUAACGUCUUCAUAAAAAAAGUAUAAUUGAUUUAAUCUGUAAUUAGUUGGAUUAGUUUUUUAAAUUCUAAACUAUUUUUAAAGAAUAGAAGAUUUAUUAAAUAAUUUAUAGUAUUAAUUAUGUAUCACUUAAUUUAGAACCUAUUUAUAUAGUGAGAAAAUUUAGAAAAUAUGGUAUUUCAUAGGAGAAACAGUAAAGUCAAAAUUUAUAAUGUAUCGGUUUUGGUCUAUUAUUUUUUGUAGUGAUUAGAUUUAUUUUAAGUUCCAAAUUAUUUUUGAGAAUUAUUGAACUCAUUAUCAACAUAAAGUGUCACUUACUUUGAAAUUCAUUUUUCUAAUAAGACAAUUUAUAAAAAUAUAAUUAUAUGCAAAAAAGAAAUAAAAAAAGUCAUUGCAAAAUCCUUUUUAUCCAUAAUUUUUUUUAUUAAUUGGAUCAUUAUUUAAGUUUUAAGUUAUUUCUAAAAAUUAUUAGGCUCAUUAAAAAUUCAAUGCAUUCAAUCUUGUUUAAGUUGUAGUUUAUUUGUGUUGUAAGAAAAAAAAAAAAAAAAAAAGAGAGAAUUAUGGUUCUAUAUAAAGGACAAACAAUAUAUUCAUUUUAAACUGAUUUUUAUCCAUAAUUUUUUUAUAUUAAUUAAAUCAAUAUUUAAGUUUCAAGUUAUUUAUGAAAAUUUCUAAACUCCUUAUGAACUCAAAGCAUUAAGUCUUGCUUAAUUUGGAGAUUAUUUGUUUAGUAAAAUAUUUUUGCAAAAAUAUGAUGAAAUGCUAAAAAGAAACUAAACAAGUUGUUCGAAAUGAAUUUUAAUUUAUGACUUUCUAAUACUAUGAGUUUCAUGACUUUCUAGUACUAAUUGAACAAUUUUUGAGUUUUAAAUUUUUUAAAAAAAUUAAUAAAUUCUAUGUAUCAAAUAUAAUUUAAUUUAAAAUUUAUUUAUUUAAUGAAAAAAUUUAGAUAAGCUAAAGAAAAUUUAAAGAGCACAUCUAAUUUAAAGAUCAUAUAAGAUAUAUUGAGAUUUUUAGCAUGGAUAUUGGAUCAUGGAGAAAGAAGAAAAAUGAUAUUAUUGAAUAUGGAGAGAGAGAAAGAACGCUAGUAUGUUUAAUUUUAUUUGGUUUUUUAUGAAUUUUUUUUUAAAUCUAUAUUUUCCUUUGAUUUUUAAAAAUAGAUGAAAACUAUUUCAUUUUGUUUUUUAAAACAUAGAAAUAGAGAACAAUGACAAAAUAAUAUUAUGAAUUUUGAAAACAACUUUUUAUUUUUAAAAGCAAAAAAAAAAAAUAUUUUUAAAACCAAAUAGCUCUAAGACUUGUACACUUGUAGCCCUACCAUAAUUUGGAUGCACAAAUAGCGUGAAAACUAGUGUUAAGGAGCAUGACAUGCAUUUCAAGUCCAAAUCCUACAAGUUUAAACUUUAAUGAAAAUUGUUAGUUUAACGUGAUAUCAAAGCUUGAUUUGUCGUAAUUUACAUUUUCCCUAUUUAUUUGUUGGAUAUGAAUGUCUGUCUCUCCAUGUGCGGGUACAAGCUAGACUGAUAUUCAUUCUAAAAGCUUCAUUUUUGUGAGAGAAAAUGAGUGAUAUGGGUAGAAAAUUUAGGGCAUUUUUCAUAAGCAAUAGAUGGAUUCAACAGGCUUAUAAAUACAGGACAAUGCAGCAAGAAAUGUAUCUCUUGGGAUUUUUUGUGCUUCAAAAGAGUGCUAGCACAGAAAGGAAAUUAUCAACUUUUUACAUAGUACCCUGAAGCACAUUAUAGAAAGAAAAAUAGAUACAUGGACAGACAGUUGGGAGGCACGCAUCAAAUCCUUGAAGGAAUCAAGGGGAUGGUGUUUUGCAGAUAUGCAGAAGCAGCUCCAACCCCACUUCCCAUCUUCACCGGGUAUCCCACAUCCUUAAGUACCAUCUCCACCCCAGCAAGACACCCCAGCAGUUGCACCUGAAGAAAAAAUCAUUCAAUCCAUUAAUUACAAGCCUAUAAAACUUUGAAUGAAAUGAAAAUUACCUAUUUUAUUGAAGGCUGCAAAGCAUUUGUAUCUUGUCAGUUAAGUUUUCUAAUCCUUCACAACCAAGAAAGAAAGUUUAAGCAUUUGGGGUUUACUCACAUCGGAUGGGGUUAAAAGUUCUGUAUGUAUGAACUCCUUUUAACCUUAUAGAUGUCUUAUAAAAUUAUAAGGGUCCUUCAAGUCUAGAACAGACAAUGUCCAUACAUCCCUGACCCUGUAUGGGAGUUUGUUUGGCCUGCAAUCUUAUGGUUUUCCAACUAAUCUCUAGUAAUACUUUUAAGAUUCAAGCUAUCUAAUAUCAUAUAGGAAGAUGGGAAAUGAACCAUACAUCAUUAAGGUGGCCGAGAUGGCCUAUUCUGAAAACCUUUCCAGCAACUUUGUUCAGGCCUAGACCUAAGCUUAAGUUGUAUCUCUUCCAUGCCCUCUUGACGAUCUCCGUACUAUCGAUGUAUGGAGGCACAACCACAGCAGUGACGGUGUCACUGAACCAUUCCUCCCUUUGGGUGCAAUUCUUCAGGCCCCAUGCCUCCACAGCAAGCCUGCAGUAUCAAGAGAAGGCCCAUAGAAUUUAUAAUUCAGGUACAACGAACAUUCACAUUGUGUUAGGAGGAAGAAUAUUCACCUUGUUGCUUUGCCCAAACGGCUAUGCCUUUCAAUCACAUUGUCAAGUCCUUCCUCAAAGAUGAUAUCCAGAGCUGCUCUCAUCCCAUACAGCAGUUGGAUGGAAGGGGUGUAUGGCCAAAAUGUUCCCAAUUUAUAGAACUUCAAGUAGUCAUUCCAGUCAAAGAAAAAUCUCACUGAUUGUGCAGAUUUGCUUGCCUCUAGAGCCUUGGGGCCUGCACAUACAAUCCCCAUUCCAGUGGGAAGAGAAAGAGCUUUCUGAGAGCCGGUUAACGCCACAUCCACUCCCCAUUCAUCCAUACGGAAAUCAAGGGCACAUAUGGAUGACACCCCAUCAACAAGAAAGAGUGCUGGAUGACGGUACUCAUCUGAUAUUUCAAUACAAAAAAGAACGUUAAAAAUGAGAACCCAAUAGUGGAAAAUGACAGAAUCCUAAUGUGAAGUUUCCUUGCAGAUGAAGAUGUGGCCUAGAAAAUGAAUUCUUACCAAGGAUUCUCCUUACUGCAGCCAAAUUGUUGGUAACUCCAGUAGCGGUCUCAUUGUGAACAAUACAAACAGCCUUAAUAGUGUGUGCUCUGUCUGCUGCAAUUUUUUCUGCUAGAAUCUCAAGGUUAGCACCUUGGCCCCAUUCACUUUCUAUGACAUCCACAUUGAACCUAAGACGUUUCUGCUGGUCGAUCCACAGCAAACUGAAUUGCCCAAUCAGGAAUGAUACAGUUCGAUCUCCAGGAGACAAUGUGUUUGUAAGUGCACUCUCCCAUGCACCAGUACCUGAGCCAAGACAGCAACAACAAUAUGUAACAUAAAUGAAGAGUAAAUUAUCAAUCUUCCAAUGACAGAAAAGGAGAACCAGAAGGAGAGUUAUAUUGUGCUGCCAUAGCCAAACGAUCGUUUGAUCUAUGCAUGCAAAUAUCAAAGGAUGCCACAGAGAAAUGGAAGCUUCAAACCAUCCUGAUGAUUAAGAUUUCUGAAGAAAGCAGACUGUUAGUGAAUGCAGUACCUGUGGUGGGAAUGAGAAAUGGGGUUCCAGUAGUUGUCUUGAAGAUCUUCUUAACAUCCUCAAGAAGGUCUUUGGUCAAUGCUGGAAUUGGUGGAGCACGAUAAUCCUCAUUGUUCCGGUUCAUGGCCCGUAUGACAUGGUCUGGGAUAUUGACAGGCCCCGGAACAAAGAGAUGAUUUGUUCCUGGUGCAAAAUAGCGGUCCAUCUUGCCCUUCUUGAAAUCUCACUGCUGAGGUAAAAUUUUGAGAGAACACCUUAGCUACAAUGAACCAAUUAAGGGGGGAAAAAAAGAGAAAAACCAACUGAAAAUCCGCAAAAGUCUGUUAAGAAAAUCUGUCUUUUCAUUCAUUUAUAGGUUUGUAUUAAUAAAAGAACAGAGCUAGAAAGAAAAAACCAGAAUUUUCCUCUCCCCUCGAUCCAUUACAAUCAGGGGCCUAGCAAACAUAAAGAAAUUUUGAAGUGAAGUAAAAUCAGAUGUUACCUAGAUAAGACAAGAAAGAAGCUAAUACUUCUUCAAAAGAGAAUUUCAUUGUAAAUCCAAAUCCUGGUCUGCAAAUUCAGAUUGUGUGCAUAUUUAUAUUGGUUCUGAGUCUUCUGACAUAUGUAACAACAAGUACUAGUUUGGAAGAGUGCAAAAAGGAUAAGAAGAAUACAAAAACUGAAAUGGGUAGAGACAGUUUAGACAAAAACACCAUGUCAAGGACCUAAAUGGAGAAUAUGACUCCUAUUUUUUCCAGAUUGAGACUUCAUGCAGUUUAGUUGAUAUGACCAGCCAAGAACUUACCAACCAUAUAAUUGUGGAUAAUUGUUGGAACAAGACCCAAGUUCUUAGAUCAAAUUUUUCUUAAAUUUCGUUCGGGUAAAUGAAUGAAAUAUGUACACAAAAUAAAUAAAUAAAUAAUCUAAUUCUGAUAAACAGCAGGAAAUGACUCAAAAAUCAUUCUGCAACUUCCAGUUUUUGCUUUAGUUCCUGGUGAAAUGUAAUUAUCUAGACUUAUACCAUGCAUCAGAAUGGUCAUGAACUACACCUAUCAACCUUUACAUGACAUUAAUAAAACAAAAGAAGGUUGGAAAAUCAUUCUAUCAAAGAAAAAAGGGACAAUUACACUAAGAAAAUUAACUGUUUGUUUCUCAAGAAAUAUCUUUUCAGAAAAGUGAGGGACCUUUUUAGCGAGAACUAAAUGGAUUGAAGAAGUAGGAAAUCCUGAACAUUCCAUGAAAUUAAACUUAGUGGAAGCUGCAAUAACAACUGAGCAAGGAGCAAUAUGAUUCUCCAAUGACUAAAAAUCAAAGUACUCAUUUCUCAUGAGUUCAAAAUCAUAUUAAGUAUAGUUUCAAGAAAAAUAUAUCAUAGCUCAGCCAAAAAAAAGGGGGCAAAAAUCAUGGGUCUUGUUGUUUGGUACCAAGACAAUAAAUUACAUCAAACAAACCACUGAUCAGAGCCCCUGUUUCUUAUGUUGUAUGAAUAAAAGACAAUCAUUUCAAUACACCCUAAAAAGAAUUUCCCAUCUUACAAGAGCACACACUUUCCUAUUUCCCAACCAGGUUUUGAUGCCUCCAUAGCCUUUUCCCAACAUGACAAAAAGUAGUAUCUUCACCUUGGAAGAACCCAAACAAGCCUGAACUCUCCACAAAUCACCAAAAGUUUUGCUAAGUAUACUUCAACAUACAUACCAGUCUAAAUUAAACCAAAACCCCAAAGAAAAAUAGAACAAAAGAACAUAAAACACAACCUUUUCAAGCUGAAAGCAAUCAGAAUGAAUAAAAAGAUAGUGAAAUAAGACACAGAAAUGAAUGAUAAAGAGUUGAGAAGAGGAGAGCAAUAGAUUAUACCUUAAGGUGAAAAGAGUGGGGGUUGAGGGAGUUAGGCAGAGGCACAUAGAAAAAGAGGGUUCAGAUAUGAAAAGGCCAAAGAGGAAGAGGAAUUGAUUUUAUAAGUAGGCGGGAGGCCAAUCAACAUUGCAUCUGGCCCCCACUUUCCUCCAGUGUGGCAGAUAAGACUUGGCUUCUAUUAGAAUCCUGGGGCUGCCAUUCAAUAAUCUCAUGUAUGACGUGGCAGCAUACUACUGUGCCUUUUUUUUUCUUUUUCUUUUUUCCUUGGAUUUGCACUAACAUAUUUAACUAUUUUGUUUUUGUUUUUCCUUCUAGGUUUUGAAAUUUUCAUUGAGGUCCCUAUGUUAUCAUGCAAUGUUCGAGAUACCUCAAAAGAAAAUUUUAAAUCUUAUAUAUUUAUUUAAACUAUCACCCACCCGGUCUUUUGUAUAGACACAUUCUACAUUCAAUUUAUACAUCCUCACGGUCUUAAAACAUGUAUAUAUAAAAUAUGAUUAUAUAUGAUAAAGAAUCAUGAUAGAUGAUAUUAAAAUUGACAUUUAUUUAAAAGUGUACGAGAUUUGUCACCUUUUUUUUCUUAUUUAUGAAUCGGUGAUAUUCUCCCUCCACUACAAACGAGCAAACGUGAGCUCCAACCUAUUGGGAAGUUUAUAGAAUUAAGGGAUGAUUUAUUUCUUAAACCAAGGACAAAAAGGAAACAAAGUGAAUGAAGUAAUAGGCAAGACUAGAAAAUAGAGAGAAGAGAGGGGCAAAUAUGCUAAAACAUUGAAAAAGAAGGGGAGUCCAAAUCCAAAAGAUGAUUACUUGGCAGAAAAUUGAAAAUUCUACUAGUUUUUAAUAUGAGAGGCUGAGAAGGAAAUAUGAAAAGAUAACAUGAUAAAGGGCUGUGUCAGCCACACCCUCACUUGUGGGAACCAAGGCCACAUGCAUACCUCAUCUUGGAUUGUUUUUGUCUACAUCCUCUUUGCCUUCUCAGGUCUUGUGUGUGAACAUGUGGCUAUGUGGCCCCCUUUUAUUUUUGGAAUGAAAUGGUAGUUUUUUAUAUGGGUCUAGUAAAUCACCAAAUGGACCCUUUUUUUUUAUAUGUUCCAAAUUCGAUAACCAAUCCCACGAUGUUAUGUGUACAUCUUCAAGUCCAUACCCACACGAUGUCAUGUGUACAUCUUCAAGUCCAUUCAUAUGUAUCCUAUAACUUAAUCCAAAUUUGUUUUGACGCUUGAUCUAAAUUUUAUUAUUUACAUUUAAGAAUUUAAGUAAAGAGCUUAAUAGGUUGGUAGAAAAAUAAGGUGAUGAUGUACUACAAUUGGUAACUGUGGUUUUAAAAUCGUAAAAAAUAAAAAUAAAAAUAACAAAGUGGAAGUUGACAUGAGGAAUUAUUUGAUGAAUGUUUUUAAUGCAAAUUUAGAUGGAGAUUUUUAAAUAAUAAAAAAAACAAAAAGAUUACUUUGAUUGUAGACUUAGGGUUGGAUAGUGUUAGUACAUCUUUUUUCCAUCCAACUUACAACAUAAAUUUUACAUUUUUGAAAUUUAUUAAGGAGGUAUUUUUGUGUAAUUAAAAUCUUAAAAAUAUCAAAAUCAUUUUUUAAUUAAAAAUGUUUUAUCCUAAAUAUAGAGCAAGGAAAAGUAAUUAUUUAUAUUUUUUUUUCUUCCAUGGCUAAAGGUGAGGGUCAGAGCAUGCAAUCAGGUAAUGUGAAUGGUUCAGAAUCCACUGAAACUUCUGGUAUCAUGAAGGAAUCUUCAGCCAAACAGCACGCCUUUUUCUUUGUCUGGUCCUUUAUUUUACAACAUGUCUUAAAUUUUAACAUUUUUUUAAAUAACUUUUAAAAACACAAGAUAAAUUUGAUUUAUGUUUUUAAAAAUGAAAAAUAAAAAGCUUAUCCAAACAACAUUUAAGAGUUUCUUUACCAAUUAUUUUUUUAAAUAAUUUUCUUUCCAAGAAAAGAAAAGUACGAUUGGCAACCAAAAAACCAAAAAAUUAUUUUUUGUUUUUAAAAACGGAAAAUUGAGUGUUUUCAAGUUGUUUUCAAUUGUUUGAACUUAUUUUCUAAAAUUUAUUUUAAAACAUAACUAUACAAAUAUAAAAAAUAAUUAAAAAUAUUAUAAAUAACAAUUUAUUUUAAAACAUAGAAAACAAUUUUAAAAUUGGUUUUACUUUUAUUUGGCCAAAAGUCAUAGAUGAAAUCGUUAACAAUUGUUUUCAAAAACUAUUUUUCAGAAUUGUUCUUACAAGUACUUUCUAAAUAUAGUGCAACCACUCACCCAAUGAACCAAACCCUUUUGCAUUUGGAGAUGGACUUCCAAAAUAUUCUUGCACACAAAAGAAACUACCUUGCCACUCAUCCUAUGAACCAAACCCUCUUGCAUUUGGUGAUGGACAUCCAAAAUAUUCUUGCAUAUAAAAGAAACUAUAAGCGCAUUUGGUAGUGAUUCUAAAAAGUGUUUCUAAAUUUUUUUAAAAAUAAAAAUAAAAAUUUUCAAGUAUUAAAAAGACUAGAAAUACUACUAUCGAAUGUUCGAUGUAUGAAAUUCCCUUGUUUCCUAUCUAGGAGCUAUUUUACCAUAAUGUUAAUGUGAGAACAAUUUUAUUAUAGAUUCAUAGUCGUCCAUCUUAUAUACAAUCCUUGCAACAACUAAGAGAUAAUAUGGGACUAAUUGAGGCAUCACCUCCCUUACUUCAAUCAUUCAAUUAUGAUAAUGGAAAAUCAUUUCAUCUUUUUAGUUGAACUUUAGGCCUGCAAAAUUUCUAGGUACACCUUACAUAACUUUCGACAGUCCUCUCAUAAAGACCCAUUCAGGGCUAAUUGAGCUAAUGAGAGAGGCUAAUGGAAAUCAAGAUUUAUCAGGUACCUUCUGUCAAAUCAGAAAAAAAACAAAUAGAGGAAAGCUAUUGGUAGGGAAGAUAAGUUGCAUGUGAUGAAACUUAAUAGCAUGAGUUUAAGAUGAUAAUAAGAUAAUAAUUCAAUGUAUUUAUAUCAUGAGUUUAACAUGCCAUUUCCUCCACAAACAUCUACAUACAACAACGGAGGAAAAUGCAUAUAUCAACAUUUCUAAGGAAAAUUUUCAAAGGAGAGGAUCAAGAUUUCAAUGAUUCAAAACUGAUAAUGUACAAUUCUGAAAAGGGCAUAAUACAUAUAAAUGUCUCCCUCAUGUAAAUGUAAUUCAAAUGAGUGAGAAGUAAAUCCUUUCCUAAAUUUUCCCUAUAUACGUAAACAAAUCACCGGCCUCAUUUGAAAAGGGUUAAAAAGAAAAAGAACAAAAACAAAACAAAAAAAUUUUGGCGAGACUCCCAUCUCCUCCUUUAGUCUCUGCACAUAAAAGGAUCUUUGGCUUUUUCUCUCAGCCACCAUGUUUCAUGUUUGUAGCAAUUCCCCACUGAUCGUAUCCAACUUCUCGAAAGGGAUAUUCAAAGUUUUAUUCCCAUGGACGGAAAAAAAAUCCAGAGAAUGUCAAUGGCUGAAGUAAUAAAUUCCAACUGAGUGAGCAAUUUUUUGCUUCACUCUCUAAUUAGCGGGCUCUCAUCCAAUCAAAGCAUCCUAAGACUACUUGAUAACUGAUGAGAAACCUUGUCGGGGAGGAUAACCACUUUGACGCAUCCUAGAAGGCUUCUCAUUACCAAAACGUCUGUUAUCAGUUGGUCCUGAUCCAAGAAUCCCCAAAGAAUUUGGAUCGGGUAAACGGGAACCAUUGCUCAUUGGCCUUUGAGGCAGGGGCUGAGUCAGGGAAUGAGUGUUAAUAUUAUCAGCUCUUCUCCUCCGUUUCCAUGCUUCAAAUUUCCCAGCAUCAUGACUCUUAGAAACUGGUUCUGCUGUUUGAUAGGCAGACAUAUUUUUGUACCCUCUUGGUGGUCUCUCACCAUGGCGAUGAAAAGAAGGGAACUGACCAGGAUCACUGUCUUUGUCACCAGGGCCCCAUGCAGAACCAUUGACAUGAGAUGAUCCUACCCCUCCAUCCUCAUCUUGCUCCUGUUUAAGUUUUGAAUGAAUCUGACGAAGCUUCUCCCCAGACAAAUUUGAAAAAGUUGAGAUGUAAUUCCACAACCUCAUGAUCAUUCCUGUAAAUGAAACAGUGUGAGCAAGCAUGUUAAGGCAUCAAAAGCAUGGAUGAACAAAUAAUUCAAUCAGGAUGAACAAAAGCUUACUGUCUUGUUUAUAUUGUUCCUUGUCAUGCUCCAGAACAAUUUGGUCUAUCCUUCGUCCAAGAAGCUGCAAAUACUUCCGAAUUUUUGAAAGCACCUGAAGAAAAAUACACCCGAUAAAUACAUAGUUCUGUAAUAGAAUAAAGACAAUGGCCAGUAAAAAUGGUAGACAAGAAAUGAGAUGUACCAAAUCCUUUGGAAGAUUAGCACUAGUAGUUUGUAAUUUGUGAAGACGGUUCAGGGUCUUAAUCUCCGUCUUCAUGACAUCUUCACACCAUUCCAUCCAUUUCACUUCCCUGAACUGCUCAUAUACUUCUUCAUUACCGGACAUUUCACCCUCCUCUUUCACUAAAGGUUCAACUCUAUGGGGUUUAUGGGAUCUAUCCUUCCUCAUUUGAACGUUAGUUACAGGAAAACCAGGUUUUCCUUUCCUGUCCUUGCUGCGAGAUAUUGAGAUAUUCAUAAGAUUCUCUCUCUCCUUCUCCUUUUUAGAAGUCUUGCGACUAGCUUUGGUAUUGGUGUUCUUCCCACCAACAGCUACAAGUUCCUGAUUAAAAACACCUCUGGUCAGUUCUUGCAAUCCAGAAUCAAAGCAGCAAUUUGUGGGAAGAUGGAAACGGAUAAGAGGAGAAAUGAAGAUAUUCCAGGAAACCUAGAGGCACGGCCUUAGGUUAAAAACAGAAAAGAAAGAAAAGAAAAUUUGAGGAAGUUGGCUGAGAUGAUACUUUUAUGUACAUUUCUGGCAUAACCACCAACAUGGACAGUGUAUGUACACACACAUAAAUCCCUCCUAACCCAAUCUUAUCAUCAAUCACCUUUAUCCUAAAAAAUGGCACUCCAAGUUCUCAACAAUUCUUUUCAUAAGCAACACAGAAAUAAUUCAAAAUUUUUGAAGGGGUACAACAGAAAUAUAUCCUUGUACUGCUCUUGCCCAAUGCACAUGUUGGUGUUAGUAUGAUAUCAUCAUGUAAAAAAUGUCAAUAAUUUUAAAUUAAACCUUAUUUUCCAUUUUAUAGUUAUAUUCUAAAUUUAUAUAUGCAUUUAAGUAUCACCCAAUGUGUUUGGGGCAUGUAAGACCUAUAUUGAGCAUUUUUCCAAAAUUUGUCACCAUUUUGAACUCCUGGACCAAUUCUAGGCAGGUUCAUCAGUUACAAGUGACUAGGCUCUCACUCUUUCUUCUUCUUUUCUUUUUUUUUUUUUUUUUUUUUUGCAUUUUUGUUCAUAGCAAACAAAAACUGAACAAAAAUUUUAUUAGAAAAGGGGCCUAGUCAGUCCUAAACACAAGAUAUAAACACGCCCAAGGGUGAAACAAGAAAAGAAGGGAGAACGCAAAAGAAUACAAGCUGUAGCUCCUAGUCAGUCCUAUCAAUGCAAUCCAAUAGCAUAAUAUUGGCAUUCCUAAAAACAACACUAGACCACUGAAACAUAGAUUCAAGGAAAAAAAACAUAUCAGCAACUAAUCAGAGCACUCCUCUUAAAUCAUGCUAUACACUCUCAAUGCACACCAAAACAAACAAAGAGGGACUGAAUCUUGCACCAUCCUACACUGAUUGCCCACACUUCUACCAUGCCACCCCAGCAGUAACUCUUUAAACAACCAUGGAAACCCGCACUGAAUUUGAAACAAAGAGAGAAAAAGGUCCUAAAAACAAACUAGCCUAAUGACAAUGAAUGAGAAUAUGAUUUGUAGACUCCUUAUACCAACAUCUCUGUUUUUUUAUAAAUAACUAUUCCACAAAUCUUCACUGAUUAAAAAAAAAAAAAAAAAAAGCUCUUACACAAAUCUUCUUUAAGACAGCAAGUCAGGAGCAACAAACUACAGAUUACUUGUAUCAAUUGUUUUAAUAGAUUGACCUGCAAAGCAUUUUGAACUAUUGAUUAUUAAAAUAGACAUACACUAAAAAUCAUUUAAAAUGUGGUGCUUCCAAUUAUGCAGUCAAUUCUCACACCCAUAUUCUGUUUUCAUUUUUAAUAGAAUUUUUCGCCCAUAUUCUCCAUUCCAUGAACUAAAUUCUUCAACAGGUUGAGAUUAUCACAGCUCCCAUACAGCAUGAACCCAAUCAGGGAUGAUUACUAUUUUCCAAACCAAUUUAUUCUCACUAGAAAAGGGCCGAUAUUUAGCUCUCAACAUAUGAAGCCAUUGGAAUAAGUAAACCAUUAAUGAAUGACAGAACAAAAAUAAAAUAAGAAAUGAAAAUCCAGACUCCUUUUUGCACUGCACAGUGGGGCAAAGCAGCAGUUCGCUAGCAGCAAAUUAGUACAUUGCUUUGACUCUCAACUUAAAUAUUUGACUUUUCAGGGGAAGCCAAUAUCUAGCAAUCAUAAAGAAUCAACAAAGUACUCCAGAGAAAGUACAUUUACAGGCGAUCAAUGUGAAUUUUAAGCAGAAGAUGGGCCAUUCAGUAACACAGUUUAUAGGUAAACACUGAAACCAUCUUUUAUAACAUUGUGUUUUUUUUUUUAACCUCUUUCCUAGCUGAUCCGUUUCCUAACAUAAUAAUCACUAAAAUCUGUUUUCUGCUAACAACAGAACAAAAGUUGGAGAUUGCUAACAUAUGCUGAACAUUAAAU